rnacentral:rRNA from 1 species
CUGCAGACGCCAGAUCUACCGGAUUAUCUAAUACCAAGACUAAAGAUGCGAUUCAAAGAUGUAGAGAAAGCAAGGGAAUUUUAUAACAGAUACGCCAGACACGCUGGUUUUGGAAUCAGGAAGACGGGUGGAAAUGACAAACACAAGUAUUUUGUUUGUGCCUUCCAAGGGAUACACACAUCUUCAGUUUCAGAGGCCAGUAGGAAGCGAAACAAAACAUUGCAGAGGACGGGCUGCAAUGCAAGAAUGAGGGUGAAGGUGCAGGAGGAUGGCACAUGCGUGGCAGUGGACAUUGAGUACAAUCAUAAUCACCAGCUCAUGCAAACUGAUGACAUGCUGGUGUUUUUGCACUCACAUAAGAAUUAUGACCCCACUAUUUUGGAGUACGUAAAGCUCUUGCAGUACCAUGAUGUCAAGCACACGACAAUCAUGUCCAUGCUAUCUGAAAAUGAAGAUGGAAGCUACUUCCUAAGCAUGACCGGACGAGACCUGCUAAACCAGAAAGCCAUGAAUGCAAGGAAAGAUGAUUUAGAUGAUGUAUUGAAACUUGUUUCAUUCUUCAAAGAUAUAAAGGCGAUAAAUGAUGAGUUUUUCUAUGACAUCCAAGUGGACAAGGACAAGUUAAUUAAAAACAUUUUCUGGUCCAAUGCAAGCUGCCGAGGAGCCUAUCAAGACUUCGGCGAUUGCGUAACAUUCGACACGACUUACAAGACCAACAGAUUUCAUAUUCCCCUGUGAGUGUUUGUUGGAACAAACCAUCACUUGCAGUCAACGAUAUUUGCUGUUGCCCUGAUAAGAGACGAAGAUGCAAAGUCAUUCAAGUGGCUGUUCGAUACAUUUCUAUGGUGCAUAAACAACAAGCACCCAACUUGCAUUCUAACAGACCAAUGCCCAUCGAUGGCGAAAGCUAUACCACAAUCAUUUCCAAACACCGUCCACAAGCUACGCCGUUGGCACAUCAUGAAGAAGUACAUGGAAUACCUCACGUUGAUGUACAAAAAGUAUAAAACAUACAAAGAGGAGUUCACAGCACUAUAA